CCCCACUUGCACCAUUCCACUAACCUGGGGUUAAAGGGAUAAACCUGGAGUUAGCAUGGUUACCAGGACAAUUUGACAGUGGGUUAACGGUUUAACCGCUUAGCCCCGGGCUAGUGGAAUGGUGCAAGAGGGCCUUACUCAGCUAUUUUGAUAGACUUCGUAGUUUUCAGUCUUACUAAUACUAUUUGCGUUAAACGUGUAAACUAAAAAUCUAGUGUUAGUAAGCAAAUGACUAACAUAAACACAAUAGUUGUUAACAAAUUUGCAACCUAAUAUGAAUUGCUAUCAUUUUGGAGCCUAAACGUUAUUCCAUUUUCUGAUGCAUUUGAAACUAAACGAGCGUGGCUAGUCCUAAGGAUUCUGUUGUAAAUACUCGAGCGAUUUCGACCAAUUUUUAUACUAUAACAAUACACACUAAAACUGACUACUUCUACAAUAUCUAAGAUUGUUCCAACUGUUCUAUUGAUGUUCCAUUCUGUGUAAAUAUUCUAAACACCGUACUGACGAAAAUAUCCUGAAGUUAUAAUGAAAUUAUGAGUCAGGGAUGCAGUUUGCAUUUUAUUUUUAUAAGAUAUAGAUUACGUUUAAGUGCAAUUGCUUGUUACUGUAAAUGAAAUCCUUGCUCUUUAUUUACUCUAAGCACAAUUACUUUUUAUUAGAUAAUAGAUGCAAACCUUUUUUUGUAUAUUUAUCUAAGCCAUUAUGUAAAAUAUUAUUUGUCAAUAUUAUUAAACGUCUUUUUGACGAA